rnacentral:rRNA from 1 species
UAUAGAGUCAAGCGAAUAAGUGCACAUGGUGGAUGCCUUGGCAGUCAUAGGCGAUGAAGGACGUGGUAGCCUGCGAAAAGCUACGGGGAGCUGGCAAACAAGCUUUGAUCCGUAGAUGUCCGAAUGGGGAAACCCACUCCGCAAGGAGUAUCCCUGACUGAAUACAUAGGUCAGUGGAAGCGAACCCGGCGAACUGAAACAUCUAAGUAGCCGGAGGAAAAGAAAUCAACCGAGAUUCCGAGAGUAGUGGCGAGCGAAAUUGGAACAGCCUGUACGAUUUAGCAUUUGAGUUAACAAAACGGUCUUGAAAGUCCGGCCAUAGAAGGUGAUAGCCCUGUAUGUGAAAACUCGAUUGUGGAACUAGGCGUACGACAAGUAGGGCGGGGCACGAGAAACCCUGUCUGAACAUGGGGGGACCAUCCUCCAAGGCUAAAUACUCAUCAUCGACCGAUAGUGAACCAGUACCGUGAGGGAAAGGCGAAAAGAACCCCGGGAGGGGAGUGAAA